AUGUUGGGAUGGUUUAAUGAUGGAUAUUGUCAAACUUUUGAAAUGAAUAAGAGCUUCACUUAUAUGUGCAAACUAAGUUGCAAUAUUUUCGUGUCUUCUUCUUCUUAUGAUAAUAGUUUGGCUUUAUAUUUUAUGAACUAUGAAAGUUACUCAUGCAUACAUGUGUCAUAUGUGCAAAAACAAAGGGACAUAAAAAUGGAUGACAUAUUCAUAUACAACAUGUACACAUUGUCUCUUUUGUUAGCCACAUUUCAGAUUAAGCAACGCCAAGGACGGCUUUGUUUUCAAGAAGGGGAGGAUGAUGAGGACAUGACUACCUUGGAUAUGACCAAAAAUAUUGCAUACACGCAUAUUUGUCAAGUGAUUUCUAGUGCAAACUAUUCAAUAAUCUAUUUAUAUUAUCCAGAACAAAAAUACUUCACACACUUCUGUGUUUUGUCUAAUUGGAGGUGUAUGGGACAUUUGUACAAUCUACAUAUGAAGAUAAGGGAAAAGGAGAAGUUUAGGUUCUAUUCAAAAAGUCCUCUCACGUCACUUUUGGGCCAAGAGAAGAUAGAGUCUAAGUCUCUCACAUUCUAG
rnacentral:rRNA from 1 species